rnacentral:rRNA from 1 species
GAUGAACGCUGGCGGCGUGCUUAACACAUGCAAGUCGAACGAACCUUCGGGUUAGUGGCGGACGGGUGAGUAACGCGUGAGAAUCUGCCCUCAGGAGGGGGAUAACGGCUGGAAACGGCCGCUAAUACCCCAUAUGCCGAGAGGUGAAAUGAAUUUCGCCUGAGGAUGAGCUCGCGUCUGAUUAGCUAGUUGGUGUGGUAAAGGCUCACCAAGGCAUCGAUCAGUAGCUGGUCUGAGAGGAUGAUCAGCCACACUGGGACUGAGACACGGCCCAGACUCCUACGGGAGGCAGCAGUGGGGAAUUUUCCGCAAUGGGCGCAAGCCUGACGGAGCAACGCCGCGUGAGGGAGGAAGGC